CCCUUGCCCCAGUGAAUGUUUCAACGGCCGCAGUACCCUGACUGUGCUAAGGUAGCGUAAUCAGUUGGCUUUUAAAUGGAGUCGAGAAUGAAAGGGUCCAUGGGGGAACGCUGUUUCUGAGUUGCUCUAUCGAAUUUAUUUACCGGGUGAAAAUCCCCGGACGAAGAAAAAAGACGAGAAGACCCUUAGAAUCUUUACAAACAUGCACACAAAUGCGCAUACAGUUUUUGUUGGGGCGACACCGAGGCAAAGUUUUUAAACCCUCGUCAUCAGAUAUUAACACGACGAUGUUUAUAAGCAAGAUUAGGUUACCUUAGGGAUAACAGCAUAAUUUUUAUUAAAGCUUGUGACCUCGAUGUUGGACUAGGGACCUUACGACUAGCCGUCGCAAUGGGCGAGAUGCGCGGCCGGCG
rnacentral:rRNA from 1 species